ACUAUUUUGGCAGAUUAGUGCAGUAAAUUUAGGAUUUAUAAAUGUAGAAUGUUCUACAAAUAGUA
rnacentral:tRNA from 1 species